GACAGAGGGUGCAAACGUUGCUCGGAAUCACUGGGCGUAAAGCGCGUGUAGGCGGACAAUCAAGUCAGGUGUGAAAUCCCCGGGCUCAACCUGGGAACUGCAUCUGAAACUGGUUGUCUUGAGUAUCGGAGAGGGAAGCGGAAUUCCUGGUGUAGAGGUGAAAUUCGUAGAUAUCAGGAGGAACACCGGUGGCGAAGGCGGCUUCCUGGACGAUUACUGACGCUGAGACGCGAAAGUGUGGGUAGCAAACAGG
rnacentral:rRNA from 1 species